GUAGACAUAAAACCUCACGCAUGGCCACUU
rnacentral:sRNA from 1 species